GCCUGGAUGGCUCAGUCAGUUGAGCGUCUGACUUCAGCUCAGGUCAUGAUCUCACAGUUCAUGAGCUUGAGCCCCAUGUCAGGCU
rnacentral:tRNA from 1 species